UCUGGAUUUCCAGCGUCUCUUAAAAUAUCAGAUCUGGAAACUCUAGUCCCUUCUUCCUGGAUAAUAAUUGGAUAAUAUUCCUUGUAGAAAAGCAUAUGUGCUCCACUUAAGCUCACCUCCCAGCAGUCCAUACUGUAUUACACUCCGCUUAUUUCCACUGAUUUAUAUCACUACCUGGCCCCGUAGGCAUUUGAGUUUGCAACCUCUGGCCUGGGUCAUACUUUCUUUGUAGAACAUUACAGAGAUUUCAAAACUUAGCACUCUUCUCCAAAAAGUGAAAAUAAAAAACAUUCAAGACAAACCACUGCCUAUCACAUUUUUAAAUACCGCUAAGGAAUGAAAUUAGGUGAGAAAUACAAGCACAUAUACAAACCCCCCUAUACUAAUUUUGGAUGGAUGGAUAUGUAUAGAUAGAUAGAUAGAUAGAUAGAUAGAUAGAUAGAUAGAUAGAUACACAGACAAAUACACACACACACUUACGUGCAUACUCAAUGGGCCCUUCUACAUAGUACAGUGGAAAGCGAUGGGCUGGAGGUUAGGAGACUUGGGUAACAGAUCCAUGACUGCCUAGCUAGCCGGGUGAUUUCAGCAAAGUCUUUUAAUGUCUCUGAACUUUAUUUCAUUAUCUGUAGAGUGAGGAGGUUAGACCAGAUCUCAGUGGGUUUCCUAUCUCUGAAAAAUCACUGGUUUGAGGUUCUCCAUUCAGAGAAGCAGACAAGAGAGACACAGAUGCAUGUAAUUCAAGUUUAUGCAGGAUUUUUUUUUUUUUUACAACUUACCUCAUCAUUUGUUAAUUUAAGGAAUAAAUCUCCAAGAACUCCUUGGCGUGGCCACUUCAGGACCCUUUCCUGCAGAGCAUGGAGCAAAUCGAGGUGCUGCUGGACAAGGAUUUGGGGGAGAUUAGUCCUUCCUCAGCAAUGGAUCAUAGGAGAACAUCUUAGACAAGCAGGAAGUGACGGCAAGUCGAAGAGAGCUUCCGUGAGCCAAGCACGUUUCUAGCAUCCCUACCUGACAAAUCAGUUGAGAUCUGAAGGACAAGGAAGAGAAGCUGCUGGCUUAGUAUCUCAGAUGUGGAAGCAAAACCACACCCAGAGCACUGCAUUUCUAGAUGUCAUCGAUCCCCAGAAUCAAGGUGGUGGUCCCAAGCCUGCCAUGUGACCUCGGGUGAGCACACCAGAGAAAAAAAUACAGAAGAAAGAUGCCAAACACAAUGUUUUUUUGUGGAAUUUGUCUUCCUUGGUCCUGAUAAUGGCUCUCUCCCUGGAUUCAUCUGAGUUGAAGUUCAGAGCCUCUCUGAGACACUCUGCAAGAGAUGGAGAGAACAGUGUGGCCCCAGUGCAAGGCAAAUGCGUACUUCAAAGGAAGAGGAAGUGACUGUCGCUGUAUUCUCACCAGAGAGGAAGGAAGAAAGGAAGACUUUUUUGUGUGCCUAUUGCUUGGAGUUUACUAGUUUACUGCUAUAUUGAUGUUCACUCUUGUAUACAGAGAAGAGAGAAGGAAGGAAGGGGAAUAAAGAGAAACAAGGAGUCUCAUCAGUUCUGUCCCAAAUCAAAUCAACCAAACGUAUGUGAAAUUUGUACAAAGUAUUUACCUGUUAACUUUUAUGUGAUACUUGUAUUAAAAGUUAACAAUAGUAUAAUCAUUUUCCUUUCAAAAGCCUCUGAAGUUUCAGGCUGGUUUAGAUUGCAUUUUCAGAGUCCAUGGUAUUAACAAAAAUGUAGAUAUUAAUUAAAUUCAUAGAAACUGUUUAGAAUAAACGUGUCAAAAAAUUU